UACGUAGGCAGCGAGCGUUGUUCGGAAUUACUGGGCGUAAAGAGUGUGUAGGCGGUGCUCUAAGUCUGUCGUGAAAUCUCCCGGCUUAACCGGGAGGCUGCGGCGGAAACUGGUGUGCUAGAGGGUGGGAGAGGUAAGCGGAAUUCCUGGUGUAGCGGUGAAAUGCGUAGAUAUCAGGAGGAACACCUGCGGUGUAGACAGCUUACUGGACCACUUCUGACGCUGAGACGCGAAGGCGUGGGUAGCAAACAGG
rnacentral:rRNA from 1 species